rnacentral:rRNA from 1 species
GACGAACGCUGGCGGCGUGCUUAACACAUGCAAGUCGAGCGAGGCCCUUCCUUCGGGAAGGUGUCCUAGCGGCGAACGGGUGAGUAACACGUGGGCAACCUGCCCUCAGCUCUGGGAUAACCCCGGGAACCGGGGCUAAUACCGGAUACGACCUCCACGGGCAUCUGCGGAGGUGGAAAGGUCUUCCGGCUGAGGAUGGGCCCGCGGCCUAUCAGCUAGUUGGUGGGGUGACGGCCCACCAAGGCGACGACGGGUAGCCGGCCUGAGAGGGCGACCGGCCACACUGGGACUGAGACACGGCCCAGACUCCUACGGGAGGCAGCAGUGGGGAAUAUUGCGCAAUGGGCGAAAGCCUGACGCAGCGACGCCGCGUGAGGGACGAAGGCCUGCGGGUUGUAAAGCCCUUUCAGUGGGGGAAGAAAAGCCUCGACCUAACACGUCGGGGUCUUGACGUAACCCAUAGAAGAAGCACCGGCUAACUCUGUGCCAGCAGCCGC